AUAAGCAGACCCAGCAGUUGGAAGA
rnacentral:misc_RNA from 1 species